AUUGAACGCUGGCGGCAUGCUUUACACAUGCAAGUCGAACGGCAGCACGGACUUCGGUCUGGUGGCGAGUGGCGAACGGGUGAGUAAUACAUCGGAACGUACCCAGUAAUGGGGGAUAACUAGUCGAAAGAUUAGCUAAUACCGCAUACGCCCUACGGGGGAAAGAGGGGGAUCGCAAGACCUCUUGUUAUUGGAGCGGCCGAUGGCUGAUUAGCUAGUUGGUGGGGUAAAGGCCUACCAAGGCGACGAUCAGUAGCGGGUCUUAGAGGACGAGCAGCUACACUGGAACUGGGACACGGUCCAGACUCCUACGGGAGGCAGCAGUGGGGAAUCUUGGAGAAUGGGCGAAAGCCUGAUCCAGCAAUGCCGCGUGCGUGAAGAAGGCCUUCGGGUUGUAAAGCGCUUUUGUCUGGGAGCAAAUCCUUGUGGCUAAUACCCACCGGGGAUGAGAGUACCAGAAGAAUAAGGACCGGCUAACUACGUGCCAGCCGCCGCGGUAACAC
rnacentral:rRNA from 1 species